ACACUCGUCUCCACACCUCCUACCUCAAAGUCCUACGCACCUACCCUUCACGUCUCUCCAAAGCAACUGAAUUAAAGCGCCUACUGGCCUUGGCGGCGCAGGUCCCAAGAUUUUGACUGAUUGGUUGUACGACUAGAGUUGCUGGAGUUCAAGUAUUUUCAUUUUAACUAUUCAACUGAAAGCAGUGCGUUACAACAGAACACGGGUUCCAAAGAAUUUACUGAGAAGAAGCAAAGUAAUACUUGGGAGAACUAUAAUACACAGGCAUCUCAUGAAAAUCAUCCAACAUAUAGAAGAAUAUAUAGAAUAAAGCAAAAAUCAUCAGAAACUCCACCGUCUUGGAUGACCAUAGUUGAUAUUCUGAAUGGCUUCUGUUCCGAUUGAACCUUGACUGAUGUAGCACCUAUCACCAAAUUGCUGUUCAGGAAAUAUGUCCUAAAGAAACUCCCAACAGCAGCAAUACAUCAGAGUGGCACCUCUUUACACUGGUUCUUGAAAGAAAAACAAAAGUGUCCAAGUGACUCAUCUUACAGCGCCACUGGAAAGCAUGGCAGAGCUUCAUUAGAACUAAAUUUUAACAAGUGGCUAAAGCAGAGAGCACAGGGAAUAUGACUUCUUCUGUGAUCACUCUGCCAGCCCUUGUUCUCCCAUUAGGAG
rnacentral:lncRNA from 1 species